AAGAUUUUAAGUUAAAAAAACUAUUAGCCUUCAAAGCUGGAAAUAAAAUAAAAAAAUUUUUAAAUCUUA
rnacentral:tRNA from 2 species